rnacentral:rRNA from 1 species
AGUGAACGCUGGCGGUAGGCCUAACACAUGCAAGUCGAACGGCAGCACAGUAAGAGCUUGCUCUUACGGGUGGCGAGUGGCGGACGGGUGAGGAAUACAUCGGAAUCUACUUUUUCGUGGGGGAUAACGUAGGGAAACUUACGCUAAUACCGCAUACGACAUACGGGUGAAAGCAGGGGAUCUUCGGACCUUGCGCGAUUGAAUGAGCCGAUGUCGGAUUAGCUAGUUGGCGGGGUAAAGGCCCACCAAGGCGACGAUCCGUAGCUGGUCUGAGAGGAUGAUCAGCCACACUGGAACUGAGACACGUUCCAGACUCCUACGGGAGGCAGCAGUGGGGAAUAUUGGACAAUGGGCGCAAGCCUGAUCCAGCCAUACCGCGUGGGUGAAGAAGGCCUUCGGGUUGUAAAGCCCUUUUGUUGGGAAAGAAAAGCAGCAGGUUAAUACCCCGCUGUUCUGACGGUACCCAAAGAAUAAGCACCGGCUAACUUCGUG